rnacentral:tRNA from 1 species
AUUUAAAUAGUUUAAAUUAAAAUUUUAAUUUGUGGAAUUAAGGAUUAUAGUGAAUAUAUUUAGAUA